ACUAAAAACCCUUUUAUGGAGAAAAUAUGUUGCCGCAAAUAAUAUCACUAGAAAAAACCUCGGCAAAAUAUGUUUUGGGUCUUUUAUGGAGACAUUUCCACGCCGUUAAAAGUGUUUUCAUAUUUACAGUGAGAAAUCACCACCGCAAAAGGUCAUUAUAUAAAACCUCUAAGCGAAUUCCCCUUUGUUUCUUCUCCCCCAAGCCCGAUACUCCCUUUCUAUUCUCGUUGAGUUUGUUGCCACCCUUUCCAAGUCGUGCUGUCACCACUCGCCGAGGAGGGGAUCUCGACUCGAGCGUAGACGAGGGGCAGCUACUCGAUGUGUUCAGCCUAGUUGCUCAGGUCGUGUAUUAGGGUUUUUAGGAUUCAAAUUCAGAGGUUUUGUUGAAUGGUUUUGUGUUCUUGAAUGGUUCUCUUGAAUGGCUUUGUGUUCUUGAAUGAUUCAGAGGUCCUAUCCAUUAGGGUUUUAUGUCAAUGAAUGGCUAUGUGUUCUUCAAUUUCUUCCUCUCCUAUUUAAGGUAUAUUUAUUGCAAGCAUGUCAUUUGAGCAUAGUGCUAUGGCCUUAUUCACUGUCUGUUUUGAUUUCAGAGAUUCAGAGUUCCUGUGUGUCUAGGUAAAGUAAAUUUUUUUGGGAUAUUCUCCAUGAUUACAUCAUUUUAUAAGUGUGGUCUUAGGAGAUGUUUUUCCCGUUAGGUUACUGUAGAUGUUUAUAGCUCUACCCAUAUGAAAAUUUGGUGUUUUUCCUUCUGGGUCUUCUAGAUUGUUAGGCAUUUUUGCUUAGUUAUUUCAAGUUUCUCAAACCAUUAAUGUAUUAUAGAGUGUUGGGUCUAUAGGGCUUAGAAAUAUGGGCUCCAGAAUGGUGAAUAAUCUAAUAAAGGCGAGAUACAAAGUGGUCGUUCAUGACAUGUAAUGUAUUAGGUUUUUUUUAGUUCUUCAUGAAUUGCCAGGAAAAAAAUCAGUCAGAUUUCAACUAAUUAUUUCAUUUGUUUUACAUUUUGAAACAAGAAUGAUUCUCUCAGUGCAAAUUCAAUUGAUUUUGUUUAUGUGGAGGCCAAUGAACUUGUAGUUCAUAGCAGUUAAUCCCUUUCAAGUGUGAUAUUAGUUACCUUGAGAUAUUUGAUUAUUUUCAAAAACUGUAAUGUCUUAAAGAAGUUCUCUAACAUGGGAGUUUCCACAAAAGAAACACCAUUUGAAGUUGCAUAAGCAAGUGAUGUCUUGAUUAAUUAUAGUAUUGCCUUCUUCUUCUCCUGUGAAUUUCAAUUACUUGUAAAUCCAUUUGCUCUCUCUCUCUAGAAAAUCUAUUCCAUUGAUUGUUGUUAUGAACAUUAGAAUGACCAUUUUUUUCAAGCUUGAUGACAGAAUGGGUGUCCAUGACCGAUGUGCUUAAUUUCUACACAAGUUUUGUCAUACUUUUACUCUUAAUUUUAUACUCGUUUGGGUUUAAUUUUCUUAUUUAUCAGAGUUUUUAUUUAUUUUGUUGAUUUUUAUUUUGAAAUAAAUAAAUUGAAGGAGUCAUAAAAAUUGAAGGAGUCAUGAAAAUUGAAGAAGUCAUAAAAAGAAUAGGAAACGUUCAUUUCUCGAAUUUUCUAAAAUACCCUUCAGUAUUUGGAGGAUAACUUUUGCUAGAGAACUCCAAUAAGGGAAAUCUCAGUGUCGACGGAAAGUUAGGAGAAAACCCUACAACUUUCGUGUUGAAGACUUUCC